UGACAUCAUAAUCAAAACAAUGAAAAUAAGCUAAAGGUGGCAGGCAAUAUCUGAGAAAAUGUAUUAAGAAGAUCCGCCUACAUUAGGAAAAAUAAAAUUUGUCUCCACUGAUGGAGGGAAGGACCUGUUUUUUAAAGGAAUUCAGGUGCUUAAAGGAGCAGAUGGGUGCACAGUGGGAUUUUUAGAAGCUCUUUGAUGGCAACUCCCACUGAAAUCACUGUGUAUUAGGCAGCUAGGUAUUUUGGAAAAUUCACAUUACCUGCAUCUUUAAGCACCUAAAUACCUUUAAAUAUUUGGCCUAAAGACAGCUUACUGUAACGUCAUAGGAAACAGAAUAGUCCCUGCUCAAGGGAAAAUAGUUUAUUGUAUGGUCAAUUAAUUUUCUAGCGAGAGAAAUCCGUACAAGCAAUUUGUAAGAGAAAUUAGGCCAGAACUCCUGAGCUAUGACUUCUGAACAGUAUUUUGUGACUGAAAUGAGAGAUCUGGUACACCAAGACACUGUGGAGAUUUUUUUUGCAGGACUAUAAGAGAGAUAAUACCCGUAGAGGAGACUCGGGCACAGAUUGUGACCUUCACCAGGUCCCUGUGAGCUGAUGGGGAGACAUAGCAAGGUGCUGGGACAAACAAAGAUUUUUCAAUUUGAAAAUAGUCCCUGUGACAGAAGUAAUGACUUCAUGAAAAACUCAAUCUAGAUGGAGCUGAGCAGACCCAUUUGUUUCUCGUAAGUGGAGCAGACAGAAAACUUGAAAAUGUCACAGGAGGAUGCUGUGAUUGCUCUACUUUACAGGAGUAAUUAAAAACCA